GUGAGGAAUAUUGCGCAAUGGAGGCAACUCUGACGCAGCCAUGCCGCGUGCAGGAAGAAGGCGCUACGCGUUGUAAACUGCUUUUAACCGGGAAGAAACCCCAGGACGUGUCCUGGGUUGACGGUACCGGAGGAAUAAGCACCGGCUAACUUCGUGCCAGCAGCCGCGGUAAUACGAAGGGUGCAAGCGUUAUCCGGAUUCAUUGGGUUUAAAGGGUGCGUAGGCGGAGCGUUAAGUCAGUGGUGAAAUCCUGCAGCUUAACUGUAGACUUGCCAUUGAUACUGGCGCUCUUGAGUGCGCUUGAAGUGGGCGGAAUGUGCCGUGUAGCGGUGAAAUGCUUAGAUAUGGCACAGAACACCAAUUGCGAAGGCAGCUCACUAAGGCGAUACUGACGCUGAGGCACGAAAGCGUGGGGAUCGAACAGGAUUAGAUACCCUUGUAGUCC
rnacentral:rRNA from 1 species